GACAGAGGGUGCAAACGUUGUUCGGAAUUACUGGGCGUAAAGCGCGUGUAGGCGGUCUGAAAAGUCGGGUGUGAAAGCCCUGGGCUCAACCCAGGAAGUGCACUCGAAACUGCCAGGCUAGAGUAUCGGAGAGGUUGGUGGAAUUCUCGGUGUAGAGGUGAAAUUCGUAGAUAUCGAGAGGAACACCGGUGGCGAAGGCGGCCAACUGGACGAUUACUGACGCUGAGACUCGAAAGCGUGGGGAGCAAACAGG
rnacentral:rRNA from 1 species